rnacentral:rRNA from 1 species
GCUAUUUAGGUAGCGCGUCGGAUGAUGACCUGCGGGGGUAGAGCACUGGAUGGGCUAGGGGGCCGCGAGGCUUACCAAACCUAACCAAACUCCGAAUACCGCAGAGUUUAAUCCGGCAGACAGACUUAGGGUGCUAACGUCCUAGGUCAAAAGGGAAACAACCCAGACCACCAGCUAAGGUCCCCAAGUCACGGCUAAGUGGGAAAGGAUGUGGGACGGCCAUAACAACCAGGAGGUUGGCUUAGAAGCAGCCAUCCUUUAAAGAAAGCGUAACAGCUCACUGGUCUAAUAGCUAUCCUGCGCCGAAGAUGUACCGGGGCUCAAGCCGUGCACCGAAGCUGUGGAUUUCAUCAUACGAUGAAGUGGUAGCGGAGCGUUCCGUACGCCUGUGAAGGUGGUCCGUGAGGACUGCUGGAGGUAUCGGAAGUGAGAAUGCUGACAUGAGUAGCGAAAAGAAGUGUGAGAAACACUUCCGCCGAAAGCCCAAGGGUUCCUGCGCAAGGUUAAUCCGCGCAGGGUGAGCCGGUCCCUAAGC